rnacentral:misc_RNA from 1 species
CCUAGAGAAUCAAUUUCCCCAAAUUUUGGCAAAUCAAACUCCAACUCCACAAUAACACCUUCUAACAGGAAUCGGCCUCGUCUUUGCCCCUUCUAUAAAAGAAUUCCUGGUCAGUACCUCUCUUCUCUGUUUUGUCCUGUCUAUUAGCUAGUCAUGUACGUUAAAUGAAAUGGAUGGAUGGAUGGGGGUCAAUGCACACAGGAACACCCUUCGCUGUGGAUGCUUUUCGUUAUGGUUCGAUUCCUGGAUGCUCUGCCUAUUUCCUUACCCAUUUCCAUUUUGAUCACUAUGGUGGCCUUACCAAGGGAUGGUCUCACGGUCCUAUCUACUGCACCCGUCUCACUGCUCGCCUCCUUACGCUCUGCCUCUCUGUUAAUUCAUCGUAUAUUCACCCUUUGGACCUCAAUACUGAGUAUAUUAUUGAAGGAGUUAAAGUAACGUUAUUAGAAGCUCUUCACUGCCCAGGGGCAGCUUUGAUUCACUUUAUUCUCCCAACUGGACUUUGCUACUUGCACACUGGAGAUUUCAGGGCUUCUAAGUGUAUGCAGUCUUAUUACCUUCUUUUAAACCACAAAGUCAAUGUACUUUACCUGGAUACAACUUAUUGCAACCCAAAGUACAAGUUCCCUUCUAAGGAAGAUGUGUUAAGUUAUGUUGUUAGAGUUACAAAGGGCUUCCUCAAAAGGCAACCCAAAACCCUUGUUGUUGUUGGGACAUACAGCAUUGGAAAAGAAUGUGUUUAUCUUGCCAUUUCGAAGGCACUGGGGGUUAAAAUUUAUGCUAGUGCUUCAAGGAGGCGGGUUCUGCAUUCUUUUUGUUGGUCUGACCUUUCAAGUAGUCUCUGUACACAAGCGAAGGACACGCUGCUCCAUGUGCUUCCCAUAUCUUCCCUACGAUUUGAGACCUUAAAAGAUUAUUUGAACAACUUCAGAAAUCAGUAUGCAGCAGUUUUGGCAUUUCGCCCAACAGGCUGGACUUACUCUGAGAGUGUAGGCAAACAGCUUGAUCAAAUUAGACCUAUUUCUAAAGGCAAUGUCACAAUUUAUGGGGUUCCAUACAGUGAGCACUCCAGCUUCACAGAACUGAAGGAGUUUGUUAAGUUCUUGAAACCAGAUAAGAUAAUUCCUACUGUCAAUGUUGGGAAUCCUGCAACUCGAGACAAGAUGCACUCUUAUUUCCAGGAAUGGCUAAAAGGCUGAUAUCCUUGCACUAAUGAAAUAAUUCAAAUAUGUGCCUGUGGAGCUCCCUCUCAGAUCAGGUCAUAAUAAUUGACCAAUUAUUUUAUAUGAAGCCUCAUUCGAAAGGAAUAUGUUUGUCAAGACAACUGACUCUAUACUCUUUUUUUUUUACUACAAUUGGGAGUGUUGUUAGGCAGAGAAUCAUUGGAUUAUCAAAAUCAUCGAAUUAUGUAUGGUGAGGUUAUCACCAAGCUUCAUAACGUUUCUCUAGCAUGGUCACUGCAGGAUGGAGUUCAGAGUAAUCUCUCAUGAAUGUAUGUAUUUUUCAUUUAACCCUCAACCCAACUUCUAGUUAUCUACUGAAGAACAAAGGCGAAGCAUUCAGGCAAUUGCUUUAUUUCCUGGUAGAAUUGUUGUAAGAAUUCAUAAUCUUCAUUUGUCUAAAUAUUUAAUUCAUUUCAGAAUAGAUACAGAAAGAAAUCAAAUCUAUUAUUUCCGAGCUUAUAUUUUUCCUCCUAGUUUAUCAUCUUAAUUUAACAUCUGAAGUUCUAUAAUUUCUUAUAUUCACCUUGCACUUCAGCCAAGACAAACAGAAAAGAUUCAAACCCAGUGAUAUUUAGCUGAACUGACUUCUUGCCUCUUGAAGAUUCACAAACCACUUCUACACUUGUGCAGUAUAUAAAAGAUGAAUAAAUAAAUUUACAUAAAUAGACUCUUGAUUUAUAAUUCCAUUGCUGAGAUGUGAGAAAAUCUGACUAUGGUAUAUGUAACUAACUUCUCAAACGAAACUCAUUGAGAGUUUACAAUCUUUGGUUGCCUUUAGUAGAUCCUUUGCUAUGAACUAACAAUUGUAGCAAUUAAUCGGUAAAGAUCUUGCAGCAAGAACAAGCUUUGGUUUAGCAGCAUCAGCUAAAAUGUUGGUUAGUUUAGACAGCUGUAUAUGUUUUGUUCUACUAGGCUGGGAGGCAUUAGCAUCAAGAAGAAGGUUCCAGGCAUUGAAUAUGAUGUUUUGGUUGCUAAUUUGAUUAGUCAGAGCAACUCAAACUGAGGAAGAAUCGGCAACUGCCUGGAUUGCUGUUGGAUGUCUCUAAUAAGAAAUGUGAGAACUGAGAAGGCAUCAAAAGAAAGCUGCAUCACAACCAAAAUCCAGAAAAAUAAAAGGCUAGAAAGAUUAAGUUCUGUUCUAAUAUGAAAAUUUAUGCUACUUUCAGACUUUACUGGGUUUGUCGUGAUGGAAUUUUUGUCAUAGCAGACCUAGAAAUUGUUAAUGAAGUUAGUCUAAAUGCAAUUGCUACACUGCAUUUAGUCAUGUAUGUACUCUGAAAAUAAAGAAAUGAUGAAUGACAGUAGCAAUAACAAAACUAUGGGGUUGAGAUAGCAUGGCAUUGGAAUUAGCUCAAUAAGGCAAUUGUUCCACUCUAGUUGAUUACUGCUUGGUAUUAUAUGAAUAAAAACUUGCAGACCUGGCCACCUGAGUUGAUAGCAUUGGCAACUUUUGUAAGAGAACCAAACUUUUCUUGAACUUUCUCUCCAUAGGCUUCUCUCAAUCUUGCCAAUUUAUGUGGAGCUUAGAUAGGUAAGUGUUGGAAAGCCUAUGAGGGAGAGAGUUCAAGAAAAGCCGAGUCUCCAAUAAAGCAACUACAAUUUUUGUGUUGCUGGAUGUGUGCAUUGUGAUCAUAUAUAUAUAUAUAUUUCUUGUGCAGUUUGAUCUAGUUUCUCUUAUUUUUUAAGAUUUUGAAGAGAGAGGGAGAGAGGAGAGGAAAGGGGAUGCAAUUGAAGAGUUGAUAUAGGUGUGCUGCUCAAAUGAAGCCAAAGGAAGAAAUUACCAUGGAAAAGAAGAGGAAAUUAACCUGAAGUUUGAUUAGAUGCGAAGCUCAAAUGACGCCGAAUGUAUACAUGAUACUUCCAUCAAAUUUCAUAUAAUUUCUUUGUGGAGGAGAAAAUUAUUAGAGAAAUUCUUUGUGGAGGGUAAAAUUAUUAGAGAAAUGUCAUUGUAUUGGCAUAUAUCAUGAUACAUUGUCAGAACUCACAGCUUUCAUACAUGUGG